AUAUUAAAUAAUAAUGAUGAUCACACCCAAACAGCCAGUCAGAACCACUGAUCUAUAAUAUAGAAUAUAUCAUAUAUAGACCAGUGGUCAGAACACAUUCAAGCGCCACUAAGAUUUUCUUUAGGAAAUUUUAAAAUGCAAUUUUUCCACUCUCCCACUAUCACGCGGGCGUGAUCACGACACAAACAGGGGAGACAAACUUGGAGAAGCGACAGUCAUUGUUGCAUUUUCUCAUGUCAUAGCGACAAAAGAUGUUGACGUUCGAGACGCUUCUCGUAAAAGAGCUGUAAAAACAGCAGAGCAGGGCAGAGUUCUGUGACAUUGUGCUGCAGACUCGAGGUGUGUCUGUGCCGGUGCACAGCUGUGUGCUGUCUGCUUUCAGUCCUUGGCUCUGUGGGGCUCUGUCAGCCAUGCCAUCACCCUGGAACGGGCAGAGGAGACUGAUUGAAGUCCAAGCCGUGGAGGCCUGUACGUUGCUCAGUCUGCUGUACUCGGGUCAGUUGAAUGAGGACAAAGAGGAAGUCCUAUCAGCAGCCUGUAAACUCGGCAUCGACAUACCUCAGCAAGUAUCAAAGAGGCCGGCAACUAAGCAAAACACACAGACAGAGUGCAUGAAAGAGAUGCAGGAGAGAGAGUGUCAAACCGAGGCUGUUCCUUCUGAAUGUUAAAACCCCAAAGGGACCAUUGAACGUGUUCAUCUGAUCGGGACGUCAUCAUGGAGGACCGAUCAGGGGCUCUGCACGUACACUGAUGGCCCUGAUAUCACCCUGGCCACACUUCAAAACAUCCAGGGUAAUCCAGAGAACAUGCCUUCCUUUCAAGUCAUGGAUGUGGUCCCUGAAAAUGCAAUGUAUCCCACAGUGAGUGGACCGGCCUGCUUGACCCAGGUCUACGUACGUCCCCCUCCAGCUUCAUACCAACAGCCUCCAACCCCACUGCCUCCUCACCCUUACCCUUCUCAUAGUACAAAUGUUGAGCCAUUGGCCAGAGAGGGCCAGCCAGCAUUGGGGGGCGUUUCAGAGGGUGAGGAGUGUCUAAUAGAAUCAUUUGCACAGUUUGAGAACAAUAUCCCAGGUUUUAUAAAUUACUUUCUUGACACCAACAUCGUGCAGGGUGCAGGGCAAAGGGAGCAGAGUCAGAGAGGGGACCUCAAAACUGAGGGAAGGGCGACGAGGGUGCGGAGGGCGGGAGCAUGCGGAGGAUUUGCUUUGAAGGGAGAAGAAUUGAGAAUUUGUAAAAGAGAGCAAAAUAUGAAUAGGUGCGGAAGCGUGGCGAGGUCAGCCUGGAUGGGGCAAGGUGGUGGUAGGGUUGGCAGGAUGCUAGACACCAAACAAAUGUUCAAGAAUCAAGAGAAGCUUAAACGGAGACGACAAGGCAGAGGAGCGAUGAAAGAGGGAGGCAGAUCAAGGGGGAGACCCAGGCAGAGACAGACAGCAAGCAGAGGCAGAUUGGUAGAACCAAUGUGUCAGGUAGGUGUCUCACGACAUCUUCAGAUGAGGAGGUAUGACAUAAAAAGAACAAAAACCUUCUGUUUUUAUUCAUUUCUGUUUGAAUGAAUGAUUUAAAUGGGUCAUAUCAUAAGCAAUCUAAUUUUCCUUGAUCUUUUGAGGAAGAAGAGUUGCUUUGGAUAAAAGCAUCUGCUAUGAAUACACGAAAACAUACUGUAACUUGGAAUACUCAAAACGUUCUCUCUGAACCAAAAGGUCUAUUCAAGGAGACUAAAAUGUCUCGGUCUGAUCUUCUGCUAUGUCAGACAGGAUGAAUGCAAUGAUGCAUGACACGUAUAUGUCAAACAAAUAUUUAAAAUAUAAAAAAUACACUAUCAUUCAUAAGUUUGGUGUCAGCAAGACCACUAAGAAUGAGUUAAAUUGAACAAAAAUGACAUUUAUAAUGUUACUAAAUAUCUGUUUUAAUAAAUGCUCUUCUUUUGAACUAUGUAUUCAUUAAUGAUUCAUGUAAAACAAUGUUUACGGUUUCCACAAAAAUAUUAAGCAUUACAACUGUUUUCAGCAUUGAUUAUAAUAAGAAAUGUUA